rfam:Enterobacter cloacae S611 EDP2.NODE_1920, whole genome shotgun sequence.
GGCCGCAGUUGCGGCUAUAGGGUUCAGUUAUUUAAAGCCCCGAUUUAUCGGGGUUUUUUGUUAUCUGAGUACGAAAUAACUGGGCUAUAUGCCCUUUUUUU